rnacentral:rRNA from 3 species
GUCUUUUAGAUUAUAAUUUAAAGUCUGGCCUGCCCUAUGAAAAUUUAAAUGGCCGCAGUAUUUUGACUGUGCAAAGGUAGCAUAAUAAUUAGUUUUUUAAUUGAAAGCUGGAAUGAAAGGUUGAACGAAAAAAUAUCUGUCUCAAUUUAAUUUAAUUAGAAUUUUAUUUUUUAGUAAAAAAGCUAAAAUAAAUUUUAAAGACGAGAAGACCCUAUAGAGUUUUAUAUUUAUUAUUAUAUAUUUUAUAGAAUUUUUUUAUAAUUUGUGAUAUUUUAUUGGGGUGAUAAAUAAAUUUAACUAACUUUAUUGAUUUUUUACAUUAAUAUAUGAUUAAUUGAUCCAUAUAAAUGAUUAUAGAUUAAAUUACCUUAGGGAUAACAGCGUUAUUUUUUUUUAGAGUUCUUAUCGAAAAAAAAGAUUGCGACCUCGAUGUUGGAUUAAAAUUUAUUUAUGGUGUAGAAGCUAUAAUAUUAGGUCUGUUCGACCUUUAAAAUUUUACAUGAUCUGAGUUUAAACCGGUGUGAGCCAGGUUGGUUUCUAUCUUAAAAUAAAUUAAAUAUUUUAGUACGAAAGGACCAAAUGUUUGUAAAUUUUACUUAAUUUUGAAUAC